GGAACACCAUUACUGGUAAUUUUAUGGGGGAUUUUUCUUCUCCGUUUAUUUUUGUUCUCUUCCUCUCCAUGUUGUAUAUUUAUCUAUAUUUUUGCAUCAGUAGUAAUUCAACUAACAAAAAGAGACGACUCUUUUUAUCCAGGAACUGAUCAUCCCUUUCGAAAAAGGUCAUUCUUUUUUUAUAAAGUUAAAUCACUUAUCAAGAAUAUAAUAUAAGAUAUGUAUGCUAAUCAAGUGCAAUUUGUUUAUUGUGUGUGAUCCUCUUCAGUACGUCUGAGAGCCAAAGGUAAUCUCAAAGCUUUUUAAAAACUUUGAAACUCAUUGACGUUGUCCUAUCAAUUAUAUAAUUUGUUAUCUUUUGGAGAUUGUUUACAUCUUUAAAUAUUUUUGUUAGAAUUACCUCUUUUCUGACUCAAGGCUUAGAGAAGAAAACCGUAAAUCAUUUAUGUUGUUACAAUGAAACCGAUGAUAAUAAAUCUCAAAUAAUUCAAAUCUUUCUUUUAUAUUUUAUGGCUAAUUUUUUUAUUGAGGUUAUGCGUGAAAUAUUUAUUUUUUCUCAAUUAUAUUUUUCUGGUGUUUUAAGAUUAGUGUUAAAUGUGAUCGUUUUCUAAACGUUCUAAUAUAUUCUUUGUUCAUAUGAACAUAGUAUAAAUAUCAAUAUGUAACAUCGAAUCUUUCAUAUUAACCAUAUACAUGUAACAUAAGUAUUAUAUAGUUGUAAAUAUAAUAUCAAUUUAAUAUUAAUGUUAAUGUCCGCAGAUGCGUGCGGGCAGUCCACCUAGUUAAAUUUUAAUUAAAGAGUUAAAUGUCAUCCCAAAAUUAAUUGUAUUUAAAUUCACUAAAUUCGUUAAAGCAUAGCAUAAAAUAUUUUAAAUACAACUUGCUAGGAUAAUCGAUCUAAUCAAAGAUAAAAUCGUACGUUUAUGUCAAAGCUGAUUUAACUUUAUAGGAAUCCUAGAAAAUGUUCAAAAAAAAAGAAAAAAAAAACUUUAUAGGAAUCCUAGGUUCAUCUCCCCCACAAGCAAACACACACACGUUGUAGGUUCGUCUGAUGGGCUGUAAUAAGGUACGGAGGAUAUAACCGUUAAGGCCCAUUAUAGUUUGAUCUAAUCUAAGUUUAGAAGUACCUCUAC
rnacentral:lncRNA from 1 species